GCGAGGACAAGGAAAGAACACCAACGCCACGCCGCGCCACCACCGAGCCGAGGCCGGAGAGAGCAAAGCACCCGCACCCGUACACGCCAGCAGCAGGCAACCGCCAACGAGCGAGACCAAGGCAACCAAGCAGAACGAAGACCAGGAAGCACAUCGCGCAGCUACAAGGCUAGAAGCCCGCUACCAGCAGCAAGCACGCACGCGGCCGCGAGCAACAAGCUCCGUCAGCACCACCACCACCACCAGCGAGAGCAGCGGGCCGGCAGCCGGGAGGCCCGCCCCCGUCGCGACCAGCGAGCAAGCGGCAGCGCUCCCGUCUCUCCCACCGAUCGCUCCUCCCCCUCGUCGUCCUGCUCCAGCAGCAGCAGCAGCAGCAGCGAGUUAGUUCUCCUGUUGGUUUAUUUGUCUACUGGGGCAUAUUGGAUUGGAGCAGCCAGCAAAAAUUGAAGAACCCAAGAAUUACUUUGAACUUAGAUUUAUAUUCUGAUUGUAUGGACUCCCAUUUCUGAGAGAUGCCAUCAUCGACACCACCGCCGCCACAAAAUUUGCUCCCACUACCAUCACCGGUGGUUGGGCGGAGCACUCGCAUUAAUCUCGGGGAAAUCAAACAAAAACUAGUUACGAGGAUUGGCCCAGAGCAGGCAAAGAAGUACUUUGAGCACUUGCAGAGGUUUUUGUCUUCGAAGCUGAGCAAGACUGUGUUUGACAAGCUCUGCCUCAGAAUACUUGGUCAUGAAAAUGUUCGGCUUCAUAACCACCUAAUUCGCUCUAUUCUCCACAAUGCCUGCCAAGCAAGCGGGCCACCAACAGCCACUGCACCUAAAUCAAUUGGAGUUGCUAAGAAUCCAAAUCGUGUCUUAGUUCCACCAGUUCUGGUCUCUGACAAUGGUGAUGUUCCAUGGCAACAUGUGAAGGCCCACUAUCCACAAGGCAGAAAUGCAGAUGCUGUCCAGGAAAAUGGUGUUGUGCAUUUGACCAAACCGAAAAGAUUUCUACAGCCUCAACAAAGUGACCUUGUGGAACCACCGUCCAAAAGAUUGCGCGUUGAAAAUGCAUAUUCAAAUUUAUCUGACCCCCCAAAUAGCAACUGUCCUGAUGUUGUUGGCAGAGAAAAUAUGGAAGGGAUUGCACAGAAUGCUCGAGAUCCAAUAACUGCCCCACUAGGGAUUGCCUUCUGCUCUGGUCAUUUUGGUGGCAGUUGGAAAACUUUGGCAUUUUCCUCUAGCGCUGGCGGUGAUAACUCUUUUUGUUGCUAUGACCUUGGUCAGCUGUGUGAUACUUCAUCACUGAAACAGCGGAUGGGGAGAAUAGCAGAAACAGAAGGGUUGGAUGGUGUGUCAUUAGAUUGUGCUAAUUUAUUGAAUAAUGGUACCGAUUUAUUCUUGAAACGUCUUAUUGGAUCUUGUAUUGAACUAGUUAGAGCAAGAUCUCGGCAUGAUCGAAUGAAUCAGAUGGCACUAAAACAACAGUUAAGUCGAAAGCUUAUAAAUGGUGUGCAGCUGCAAAAUCAGGUGCAUGGUCGAAGUGCCAAUACAUGCCCACAAAUCAGCUCGAUUUCGUUGCAAGACUUCAAGGCUCAAUCAGAGCUAAAUCCUCAGCUGCUUGGAGUCAAGUCAUCACUGCUACUUGAAAAAAUGAAUUCAUAUGAUUAAUCAGUUAGGAUCCAAAUGAAUUAAUCGUUCUACAGAGGAUUAACCUUUGCCAAGCAGGCAAGAGGAUUGCAAGCUUGAAAUUCUAUCCGGGUCACAUGCACCGACAGCCAAAUGGUAUGUGGAUGUCUGCAUAUUUUCUUAUGCAACAAGAGGCCUGAACCAAUGCCCCCAGUUCCUGGUGUGAUUUGUAGCACACUCAGAAAAUGCACCAGGCUGAGGUUGGAGUUCUGUGCUGAAGUCUCAGCCUCACCAGCUAGCUUGCUUCUCCACAAUUUUUCUGGGCACAGCAAUGUCCUGACUUGCUUCCUUGCGUAUCUGCAGGCAUGUAGCAGACACCAAAUAUUCUCAGCUUGGUGUUUCAUAUGAUGUAUGGUGUACAUUUUCAUAAUUUGUUGAUGGGCAGUGGAAGGUGAACUCCACAGCUCACUAUUAAGGCUGCUCCAUCAAAAUAAGUGAAGAUCUCAUAGCUUCUAAGACUGUUGAUUAUACAAAGACAUCAAUGUUGUGGUCUUAUGCACCAAGGCAAGAUUGCAUAAACAACCAUGGUGUUGCAGGGUGCAAAACAGAUUUAGAACAGAGCCUUCCAACAUAAAGAGAAGUGAUCUUUUUUUCACGAGUACGCCGGAGAGCUGUGCAUCAUUGCAUUAAGAUAGGAAGGAAAGGAAAAAAUAGCCGUACAACACCCUCCACACACACCCCUGAGCUUUUAGACUGGAUCGCGCCUGUGAAAAAUUAACACGACAACCCUAGACCUUGCUUCAUCUAGGAGAGCAGGCAAAUAAAUGUGGAAAAUUGACCGCAAGGCACAAAGGGAAUGGGAUAGAAAGGAAAUGGCGUGAUUCAAGAUGCAAUAACCAAAGAACAACAUUCCGCAACCAGGGGAAUCUAAAUUACGCUGCCAUUCAGCCAAGAAAGAGGCCAGGAGACUGUACCUGGGCUGAUCUCGGAGCUGCUCACAAGAAUCCUGAAUGCUGAUCAAUAUCUGCAAUUAAAGGUCACCAAUUCAUGCCGAAGAGAACAGAAAGUUUGCAUUGCGGUGCCCACCUUAUAUGGCUUGCCGCCUGCACCAGGAGGAUCUGGGAGGUUGCGGCGUUGAAAUAGUCCGACUUUCUGAAUGUUUGGCCCUUGUGCUUCCGUUUGUUGGCUCCGGUGGGCAUUCCAUAAAUAGUGAGCUGAGACAAACCUCCAUUCAUUCAUGGUCUGUGGAUCUGCCGUUUUGUGUUUUCAAGCCUAAUAACGGCAGGCACGGUUACAUGCUUGCCUGUCUCUGAAUUUUGUUGCUGGCACGCGUGUCCCCUGAUGCAUUUGUUGCCAUUCGAGAUGACAUGAGUUUAGCUGCCAAUAUGUUCGUGCCUGUUCAUCCUUCAAA